AUGGGUUCUACCUAUGGGCCUUGUUGGGCUGGGUUAGAUUUCAUGGAAAUCAUGUCAACUGUAUUUAUCAUGCAUAAGUUUAUGACUCUUUUCUUGGAAAAAUGGAUAUGUAAAAAAUAUGCCAUUAUGCAGCAGUGAUGGACAUAGUCUAUAGAGCCAUAGAGGCAAAGGUAGAAUCCUGUCAUGUUUCUUCCAUCACAUCUUAAG